rnacentral:tRNA from 1 species
GGAGAGGUGGCAGAGCGUUUGAAUGCACUGCACUCGAAAUGCAGCAUGCCCGCAACGGCAUCGGGGGUUCGAAUCCCUCCGUCUCCGCCA